UACGGGGGGGGCAAGCGUUGUUCGGAAUUACUGGGCGUAAAGCGCGCGUAGGCGGAUCGCUAAGUCAGGGGUGAAAUCCCAGGGCUCAACCCUGGAACUGCCUUUGAUACUGACGAUCUGGAGAUCGGGAGAGGUUGGUGGAAUUCCGAGUGUAGAGGUGAAAUUCGUAGAUAUUCGGAGGAACACCAGAAGCGAAGGCGGCCAACUGGCCCGAUGACUGACGCUGAGGCGCGAAAGCGUGGGAGCGAACCGG
rnacentral:rRNA from 1 species